AGGAGACAUCCCUACCCUUUUGAAGCAAAUGCAUAGGCUGUGGGGAGAGAGCCUCUCAUAUUGAGCAGUGAAUAGAGGACAGGUGUUAGAAGAAGAAAAGAGGUGAGGAAGAGAUCAGGAUAGCCCGGGAAGGUAGCAGGAUAGCCCCGGAAGGAGGAGUUGGGAUUUUUCCAGGGCAGCAGACUGCAGAGACCAUCUAUGCAGACAUCUUCAAGAGUAGAUGUGCAAAAGUUGGCCAGCAGUCAGGCCAUCCACUCAUUCACUCGUUCAGACAGCUGUGUAUUACACACCUCCCACAUGCUGGGGUGUUGCUUCUCGAGCUUUCAGUGGACAUGGUGACCUGGGCUGUUUAAAGAAACACACGUUUAGGGGUUGGGGAUUUAGCUCAGCGGUAGAGCGCUUGCCUAGCGAGCGCAAUGCCCUGGGUUCGGUCCCCAACUCCGAAA
rnacentral:lncRNA from 1 species